rnacentral:rRNA from 1 species
AGCAGCCGCGGUAAUUCCAGCUCCAAUAGCGUAUAUUAAAGUUGUUGCAGUUAAAAAGCUCGUAGUUGAAUUUCGGGGUUAGUAGGUUGGUCAUGCCUCUGGUAUGUACUGGUCUCACUGAUUCCUCCUUCCUGAUGAACCUUAAUGCCAUUAAUUUGGUGUUUUGGGGAAUUUGGACUGUUACUUUGAAAAAAUUAGAGUGUUUAAAGCAAGCUAACGCUUGAAUACAUUAGCAUGGAAUAAUGAAAUAGGACGUUCGAUCCUAUUUUGUUGGUUUCUAGGAUUGACGUAAUGAUUAAUAGGGAUAGUUGGGGGCAUUAGUAUUCAAUUGUCAGAGGUGAAAUUCUUGGAUUUAUUGAAGACUAACUACUGCGAAAGCAUUUGCCAAGGAUGUUUUCAUUAAUCAAGAACGAAAGUUAGGGGAUCGAAGACGAUCAGAUACCGUCGUAGUCUUAACCAUAAACUAUGCCGACGUAGGGAGUCGGAUGAUUGUUUAAUUUUUUAAUGACUCUAUUCGGCG